CAGAAGUAGAGUCAGAGGGAGGCCACCGUUGGCUUUGAAGAUGAAAGGGGCCAUCACCAAGGAAUGGACAGCCUCUAGAAGCUGAGAAGACAAAGAAAUGACUUCUCCCCUCAGAGCCUCCAGGAAAGUGCAGCCCUGCUGCCUCCCUGACUGUAAGCUGGUGAACAGAUUUCAGACUUCUUCAGAACUAUAAAAUCAUUAACUGUGUUGUAAGACACAAAGUUAGUACUUGUUACAGCAGCCAUAGGAAACUAACACUUGCGGUAACCAUCACUAUUUAAUUUUCAAACUCUGGAACUAAGUAUAAAUCUCCUAAGAUGUUUAAACAUA